rnacentral:rRNA from 1 species
CAACGCUGGCGGCAGGGCCUACACAUCAAAGUCGAGCGGGCACUUCCCGUGUCAGUCUUAGCGGACGGGUGAGUAACGCGUGGGAACUGCCCUCUGGUUCGGAAUAACUCAGGGGAAACUUGAGCUAAUACCGGAUACGCCCUCUUUGGGGAAAGGCUUGCUGCCGGAGGAUCGGCCCGCGUCUGAUUAGCUAGUUGGUGAGGUAACGGCUCACCAAGGCGACGAUCAGUAGCUGGUCUGAGAGGAUGAUCAGCCACACUGGGACUGAGACACGGCCCAGACUCCUACGGGAGGCAGCAGUGGGGAAUAUUGGACAAUGGGCGCAAGCCUGAUCCAGCCAUGCCGCGUGAGUGAUGAAGGCCUUAGGGUUGUAAAGCUCUUUUAUCCGGGACGAUAAUGACGGUACCGGAGGAAUAAGCCCCGGCUAACUUCGUGCCAGCAGCCGCGGUAAUACGAAGGGGGCUAGCGUUUGCUCGGAAUCACUGGGCGUAAAGGGCGCGUAGGCGGCGUUAUUAAAGUCGGGGGUGAAAGCCUGUGGCUCAACCACAGAAUGGCCUUCGAUAACUGGGACGGCUUUGAGUAUGGGUAGCAGGUUGGGUUGGAACUGCGAAGUGUAGACGGUGAAAAUUCGUAGACUAUUCCGCAAAGGAACACCCGGUGGCCGAAGGCGGGGCCAACUGGCACCAUUUACCUGAACGCCUGAGGCAGCCAAAAACCGUUGGGGAGCCAACAGGA